CCUACGGGUGGCUGCAGUGGGGAAUAUUGGACAAUGGGCGAAAGCCUGAUCCAGCCAUGCCGCGUGUGUGAAGAAGGCCUUCGGGUUGUAAAGCACUUUCAGUGGGGAAGAAAGCCUUGGGGCUAAUACCCUCGAGGAAGGACAUCACCCACAGAAGAAGCACCGGCUAACUCCAUGCCAGCAGCCGCGGUAAUACGGAGGGUGCGAGCGUUAAUCGGAAUUACUGGGCGUAAAGCGCGCGUAGGCGGUCUGAUAAGCCGGUUGUGAAAGCCCCGGGCUCAACCUGGGAACGGCAUCCGGAACUGUCAGGCUAGAGUGCAGGAGAGGAAGGUAGAAUUCCCGGUGUAGCGGUGAAAUGCGUAGAGAUCGGGAGGAAUACCAGUGGCGAAGGCGGCCUUCUGGACUGACACUGACGCUGAGGUGCGAAAGCGUGGGUAGCAAACAGGAUUAGAUACCCUGGUAGUC
rnacentral:rRNA from 1 species